rnacentral:rRNA from 1 species
UCCAGACUCCUACGGGAGGCAGCAGUGGGGAAUAUUGCACAAUGGGGGAAACCCUGAUGCAGCGACGCCGCGUGGAGGAAGAAGGUCUUCGGAUUGUAAACUCCUGUCCUUGGGGACGAUAAUGACGGUACCCAAGGAGGAAGCCCCGGCUAACUACGUGCCAGCAGCCGCGGUAAUACGUAGGGGGCAAGCGUUAUCCGGAUUUACUGGGUGUAAAGGGAGCGUAGACGGCAUGGCAAGUCAGAUGUGAAAGCCCGGGGCUCAACCCCGGGACUGCAUUUGAAACUGUCAGGCUGGAGUGCAGGAGAGGUAAGUGGAAUUCCUAGUGUAGCGGUGAAAUGCGUAGAUAUUAGGAGGAACACCAGUGGCGAAGGCGGCUUACUGGACUGUAACUGACGUUGAGGCUCGAAAGCGUGGGGAGCAAACAGGAUUAGAUACCCGAGUA